CCCUUAGAGUUUGAUCCUGGCUCAGAGUGAACGCUGGCGGUAGGCCUAACACAUGCAAGUCGAACGGCAGCACAGCAGUAGCAAUACUGUGGGUGGCGAGUGGCGGACGGGUGAGGAAUACAUCGGAAUCUACCUUUUCGUGGGGGAUAACGUAGGGAAACUUACGCUAAUACCGCAUAAGACCUUCGGGUGAAAGCCGGGGACCUUCGGGCCUGGCGCGGAUAGAUGAGCCGAUGUCGGAUUAGCUUGUUGGCGGGGUAAAAGCCCACCAAGGCGACGAUCCGUAGCUGGUCUGAGAGGAUGAUCAGCCACACUGGAACUGAGACACGGUCCAGACUCCUACGGGAGGCAGCAGUGGGGAAUAUUGGACAAUGGGCGCAAGCCUGAUCCAGCCAUACCGCGUGGGUGAAGAAGGCCUUCGGGUUGUAAAGCCCUUUUGUUGGGAAAGAAAUCCUGCCGAUUAAUACUCAGUAGGGAUGACGGUACCCAAAGAAUAAGCACCGGCUAACUUCGUGCCAGCAGCCGCGGUAAUACGAAGGGUGCAAGCGUUACUCGGAAUUACUGGGCGUAAAGCGUGCGUAGGUGGUUGUUUAAGUCUGCUGUGAAAGCCCUGGGCUCAACCUGGGAAUUGCAGUGGAUACUGGGCGACUAGAGUGUGGUAGAGGAUAGUGGAAUUCCCGGUGUAGCAGUGAAAUGCGUAGAGAUCGGAAGGAACAUCUGUGG
rnacentral:rRNA from 1 species